rnacentral:lncRNA from 1 species
UUCAAAUUGGUUGUUCAUGGUUGUUGGGGUAUUGAUGACAAUGACAAUCUUGUAAUUACUUGAAUAUGAUUAGGGUGAGAGAAUAAAAAUAUCAUUUUCGAAAAAAAAAAUAAAAAAAAAUUUGAUGGCAUUUUCGUGAAUAUCAUGAACUUAUGGGGUAAAUAGAACAAAAUAGGUUUGACUUUGAAUUUUGAGUCAAUCUUGCAAAAAGCCCUAUUAUAUAUGUGCAUUCGUAUAUACAGCUAAACUGAUUAGCUCGAUAGCCUCGAUCCAUUAUAGUUCGAUAUUCGUUGAACUAAAUCUAAAGUCUCGCUUUAUUAUUAUUUUUUUUGAAAACUGAGUCUGGCUUUAUUAUUUUAUCAAAUAAUUCAGAUGAAAAGAACUAGAAAUUUUACAUCGUACGUCACUAACAUUUAAAUAUAUAUAUAUAUAUAUUUGGUUGCAUAAUUAACAGUGGUUGCUUAAGUAACGGUGUUAUUAUCACAUAAUAUAUGGGUGUUAUAUGUUCUUGAAGGUUCUACGAUCGCGUAAGACCUGUAUACGGACAUUUUUUUUUCUGGUAGAGAGAUUAAGAACUUAAAACUCUACAAAUAAGGGAAGCAAAACCAAAACUAAGAGCAAUA